UUCGCCUACGGGAGGCAGCAGUGGGGAAUAUUGGGCAAUGGGCGCAAGCCUGACCCAGCAACGCCGCGUGAAGGAAGAAGGCUUUCGGGUUGUAAACUUCUUUUGUUAGGGACGAAGCAAGUGACGGUACCUGACGAAUAAGCCACGGCUAACUACGUGCCAGCAGCCGCGGUAAUACGUAGGUGGCAAGCGUUAUCCGGAUUUAUUGGGUGUAAAGGGCGUGUAGGCGGGAAUGCAAGUCAGCUGUGAAAACUACGGGCUUAACUUGUAGACUGCAGUUGAAACUGGUUUUCUUGAGUGAAGUA
rnacentral:rRNA from 1 species